UCAGGGUCAAGCAGCUAGGUCUCCUGGCACCCAGGACAGUCUGAUGUACUCUGCAUUGGGCUUCAGAGAGGACUGUGACAGACAUAGAAGCACAGCCUGCUGAUCUCUACAACUUUAGUUUCUCAUGGAUUGUCAUGGAGAAGCAAUUUGUUUCUUCACAAGGGCUGCAAAUGCAAUGUGUAUCAAGGUUACAUUAUUCUGCUGCAAUAUAACGUUGAUUUUCAUCGACAAGUAAAUAAAUUGUCUCAGCAAACAUUCCUGCCUGGGAACGUAUUUGCUGGAUAGCUGGCAAAAAGCUAGAGCUGAAGGGAUGUGAACUUACACCAAGAUGAAUUCCUCUAUACAAAACCCAGGCAGUGCAGAGCUGGAAGUAGCAGUUGAUUCACUGGAGGGCCAUGCUACCAAACCCAGGCACUACUACAGGAUGGGGAACCCCCAGUGGGAAGGCAGCUGGAAGUUGAAAGACCUCAGGAUCUUGGUGGACACCAAGUUGAACAGCAUCCAGCAGUCUGCCUUUGUGGCACAUCCUCAGCAUCAGAGGAACUGUUGCCAGCAGCUCUGGUAAGAUGCAGCUGAGCUCCAAGGACAGGAGGGACAUGGACACACUGAAAUGUGCCAAAUGAAGGAUCGAGAGGAGCAUGAAGAGAUCAGAUCAUUUAGUUUAUGAGAAGAGGCUGAGAGAGCUGGAGUUAUUUAGUCUGGAGUAGGGAAGGCUGGAGUUAGUGGAGAGCUUAUCAACGGGCACAAAAUAAAACACAGGGAAUUCCAUUUCAAAAUAGAAAACCCCUUAUUUGUAGAAUGGUCAAACACCAGAAUAGGCUGCUCAGAGAAACUGUGGGGUCUCUGCUCUUGAAAAUAUUAAAAACGCUACCAGAUAUGAUCCUGAGCAAUUCUGCCCUGAGCAGUGUUUAGACCAGACAAUCAGCAGAGCACCCUUCUGACCUCAGUGGUUCUAUGAUUUUAUUCCCAGUUGUUAACACCAAAUAAAUUACUGAGCUGCCAAUGAGUUGAAAUGACCUGGUAAAGAACUAAAACUGAUUCUGUUUAGAGUGAAGGUUUACUGGACUGGAGUGGAUUAGGCGAGCCAGACAGGUCUGUCAACUGGAUAAAUUGUCUUCUUCCUUUUGCUCUGAGCUCCUCCCUUUGGCACACUCAGAGCAAUAGACCGUGCUAUAAUGCAAAGCCAGGACCAGAGUUUAUGAUCUCUAGGAACUGUUUUUGUUACACGAAUAACAAAUGGAACAGCAAGGCUUUGCAAGAUCUUCUUGACAUACCAGGUCAAAACCUCUUCAGCUAUCAGUCUCCCAUUCUCAGAUUCUUGAGCCAGUGGUAUGGGAACACUAGCCACAGGGUGGGUUUGGCAAUUAAGCACCUAAAGAGUUUCAAUAAGGAUCUAUGAAAACAUGAGGAUUCUCAGAAAAAUGUCUUUCAUUCUGGAAAAGUCAAGGAAAUCAUGAAACCAUAAGGUAGCAGAAAAAAGUUCUGCAACUAUUUGUUUUACCUUAACUUGACAAACAGGUAUAUGCUUCUGGUUUCUUCUUCUCUCCUCAUGGAUAAGAAGCUAUGGCUUUCAAAAUACAAUUUCAAUGUGGAGUGCAAAUUCUCCAUACUCCCAGCUCACUUCUAACUCAGAUAAAAUACAAACUACUCACUCUAAUGUUCAAGAGCCAAGAAAUGCCUUGUGGUUAAGGCAAGUUUGGCCAUUAGUCACUUUUUGAGUCCCAGUUCUGCCAGCAACAGUAUGUGACAUCAGCAAGUAAGCUUCCUUGGUAUGGGAAAGUACUUCACUAUGAAUUUCCCUGGGUUAUAAUCUUGUUCCAUUAGAGCUAAUCCUGUCCUUCGAGCAGGAUAUUGAUUCAGAUUCUGCUUUCUCUCUUAUUGACUGUACUUGGCACAAGGAGGAAGCGGGCUGUGACUCUGGACUGGACCCCAACUGCUCUCUGCCUCUAGCCCCAUCAACUCGUCUUGGAGCAAAGCACGUGCUUCCAUCACACCGUUGUGUUUUGACAGGUAGAAUUGCAUCAAAUGGCUCUUCCUUCAAAAUGCUGGUACACUGCUGCAGGUGCAGGACAGCAAAAGACUAUCAGUAGAGCAGGCUGAAAUGUGAUCUGGUGAUUUCACUGGCUUCCCUAAAGUUAAUUCUUCGGGGACUUGACAGAAGCCGUGAAAUUAUGCCAAGAAUUAAAGCCAGAGCAAAGUUGGAAGGAUGAGUCUGGCUCCUGUCUGAAUCAAAUCACAGUGCGUGCACGCAACAAGUUGGCUGCUGCUCACAUACAGACCAAAGCUCUUGCAGUCCACUCUGCAAAAUCUCUGGUGUGUGCCACAUACAUGCAUGUGUCCAGCAGGGUGAAUGUAAACAUGCACAGAGAAUGCUGGACGACUCCUUAGAAAGCGCAUUGUCACCAUGGGAAGACUGCUAUGUGUGAUGGUUAAAAGAUGAGUGGAAAUCAGGGCUGGAACCAGUCUCUGUUUGACCUAGAGCUCUGGGUUGGAGAUAAAUGGAUGCCAAAUCUCUGUCACAACUGCUACAUCAAGAACAAAAUGGGCGCUUUUUUUCCUGUUGAUUUAGCCAGCCUGACCCCUGACUUUUCAUAAAGGUCAUGUUACACUGGCAGCCGAGGAAGGCUGCAAGUUUCUGGAGCCACAACCUGCAAAUACCCACGACCGACAAUCCUUUGUUCUCUCCUGGGUCAGCGAGGAAUUUCUCUGCAAAAUACUCAUCUUUUUGGUGGCUGCUCUUUGAUAGGAAGGAACACACAAGGCCCCCACUGUGGCAUAGCUUUUCCACAUUUCUCCUGAAAAUGAACAGUGUUUCCUAAAGCCAAUGGCAAGAUGGCACGCCUGCUUGGCUAAUGAUAUGGGAGGCAGCAGGGAAGGCUGUUUCUUUGGGAGAAAAAGAGUGAAGCAGUCUCUCAGGAUCGUUCUGAGUAUUUUCUUCCACAGAGAUAUUGUGACUUGAGACCUGAAGUUAUGUGAAGCAAAUCUUGAAUAGCUUUCUUGGACUCUGUAAGCAAAGUGGGACAAAUCAAACUGUUCACUGAUUCUGAUUAGGAGAUUUGAGCUCAAAGGAAAUCUUGAAUAGAAAGUCUAAUUUUACAGCUUCUGUCAUGUUUCUCCCUAAGACUCCUAAAGUAGGACUAGGCCACAGGAAAGCACUAGUGCUAGCUGCUUCAGCAUUUCAAUUAUUUAUUCUGCUUACAGAAAAUCUGGUUCUCUUCAAAAAGUUGCUCGUCCUACUUAUAAGUCAUGAUGGUGGCACUGCUCUGAGUCAUACUUCAGAGGUCCCAGAUGAGUGGGAGCUGUGUGGACGUGAUGUGACCACAGUGCCUUGGGCUGCAUGGAGCUGGGGGAUGUUCUGGCAGUGGCAUCUGGCAUGGAGUGUUUCUGUGACGUCUGUUCUGGCACAUACAUACAUUAGAACAAACAUGUGCUUGGUCUAGAUAAACUAUUUGCUUUUAACCUCAGAGAUAUGAUUGAAACCCAACAGAAACUGAUAAAAGUUUCCUGGGGAUUUCUGUGAGUGGUAGAGGCAGCUCUCUUUAACCACAAAUGUUGGCUCAAGCUGAUAUGAGAGUUGGAGAGCCCUGUGUGUCUGGGCUUCACAAGGGUCUUUUUGUUUUGCAGAACAUUCUCUUCUGCAUCUGGGAAGUUCUUGCAGGCUGUGUUAGAUGACAAAUUUUGCUCAUUUGAACAACUUAGUUGCCCUAUGCCAGAAGUUCUUAGAGACAGUUUUAUGUUCUUUUAGAGAAUUUGGUGCAAAGUGAGCAAAAAGAAUAAAAGUUCUUCUCAUCCUCGAGUGAGCCCUAUGUGGGCUCCACUCCUUGCAUUCUUCUGUCCAGGUUGCUAGAAGGUUCUGGAGCCAUAGCCUACAGAAUCACAGAAUCACAGGAGCUGGAAGGGACCUCUGGAGAUCAAAUCCUCUGCUAAAGCCAGUUCCCUAGAGUAGGUUUUGCAGGAAAGUGACGAGGCAGGUUUUUGUAUAUCUCUACAACCUCUCUGGGCAGUCUUUACAUCUCAAUGAUAGUUCAAGAGCUCAAGCUGCAUGCUUAGCAGAUGCAAGAGGUUGCAUUUGGCAAAGGCACAACCUGUUUCUAAAAUUGUCUCCAAGAUCCCUUGUAUGUGUUUGUGUCUCCCAGAUGGACCAGCUGGCUGGUAUUUUACGGGGUGUGAUUGUUUGUUUAGCUAAUGAAGUGGGAAAAACAAAGAGCUGAGACCCUGGGCAGCCCUGAGAGAGAGAAGAAACCUAUCAGUCAGGGUGUUGAACUGCAGCCCCAAGAGACAGUUUUGAUUCCUGACUCAAGAGAGUCAUGGAUGAAAUGCAGAAAAGGAUGCCUCAGCACAAAAAGAGGAGGAAGAUGCUGGGAGCUGCCUGCUUUUCCUGUUUAUCUGACUGGGAGAAACUAUUGUAAUGAUGUGUGAUGGAGAACAGCUUCUGUCCGCUGAUGCUUACUCAGAGCAGACGUGAUCUACUUCCACAAACAUAUCCAGUCUCCCUUCUGGAAGGAAAGAACAUGCUCACAAAAGUGUGGUUUCCCUUCCUCAUGACCUGUGCCCUACCAUUUAAUGAAGGGCUGUUCCUUUAGUUGUUUUUCUGAUGCUGAAGGAUUGAGUGUGAAGCUCCUGCCUGGAGGAGCCUUGCUGAAGAGCAGAAAGCACAAGGAAAACAGUAAAAUGUCUUCCUGUGUCCCCACCCUCUUUAAUUUUCUGGUUUGACUUCAAAUGCAGACUGCCAUCGUUUCCACAUGGAACAGCCACAUGAAAAGCACCACUAAACAGUUCUGAGUUUCUCAGCAAGAAUCACAGCAGCUAAAUAUAUUUAAUCUGUGGGUAUUGUUCAUGUUGGCUUUAAUUUCCUGUUCUCAAAAGGUUUAGGAAUUUAAACCCCUGAGUCAUUACUGAAGCCAUUAAUGCUUGAAGCCUUUUUCAGAAAUGAAGAUAAAGGAAGUGAUAUUAAUACCAGCUUAGCAUGAAUUGAGCCAGAACAGCUCUGUGAGAAAUUCAUUGCCAUCCCAGAGACAUCACUUGGUUUCUAACCAUGACGAAAGCUGCCCAGAAGCAGGUAGGUGGAUGAGAUCAUUCUCCCUGAGGUGAAUAAGAUGCUUCCCAUUUAAAACUGGGGGAAAAAAAAAAGUCUCUCUGGCAAGUUAUGGGCUGCAACAUCCCUAUCUGGAAACUUCUAGAGCACUCGACUGUCCUUUUGUUUCUAAAAAUUGCAGUAUAUUUUUAAGCAGUGAUUUCUCAGAGUUUAUUCAUGAGAGUUCUCAGCUCAGAUCACGAAGGAACCUCUCCUCCCACCCUGACAUGAUGCUGCCUUCAGGCUGAGCUCAAAGCGGGACAGAACAGAGCUUUAUCAAGAGGAAGAGAAAUAUAUGAGAUGCAGAACCAUUUUGGUGUUGAGCCCUUGCUGUCAAAUGAGAAUAUGGUGAAAAGGAGAAGGAGCAUGACAAACAGCAGUGUGUUGUGGCAGCUCAUGUCCAUCAGGAAUGGCUGGAGCAGCUUCCCAUCAGAAUUCAUGUCAGAGGUUGAGGAGAAAGCUUGCAGCAGCCACACCAUAAGGGUAUCCUGGACAACUUUCCAGGCAGGUGUGCACAGCAUGUGCUCAGAGAGGACUCCUGGCUCAGCCUGAUAUGAUAAGCUGAAGUGGAUGAAUUGCAUGGUUGCUGCUGCCUCUUGAGAGGUGCUCUUAUUUUACGUCAGGCCCUGUGAGGCCAUCCAGGGCAGUUUGGCUUCGCUCUGUAUUUGCAAAGCCCUGCAGCAUGCUCAUUCCUGUUGGGCUAGUUUUAAGGACUGUCCUCUUCUUGCCUCUGUUCUCCAUCAUCAAUUAGCUUGAGUCUCUGAGACUACAGCCCAUGACCACUUUUUUUCCUUUCACUCUGCAGCUAUUCCUGCUCUUGUAACAAGCUUUCACAGAGCCAGCAAGCAUCAGGCUACAUCUGAGCCUCCGGGGCUGUCUCUCCAUCUGUUUGUUUAAUGACGCGCAGCAGCCUCAUCUCUGAAUUUGCACCCUCGGGACAAUAAUCCACUCUGAUGCUCAGGCCAGCCAGCUAUUCUGUGAUGAGGCUGUGGCUGAUGCAUUGUAGGUUGGAGGAGAUUUUAAAACACAUAUUCUGGAUUACAUUGUGGCUCAGAUUCUUUGUGGAAAAGAAGGGGCAUGAGGACUUGCGGUGUUGCUGCUAUUCUGUAAAGCUGAAUGUGGGUUCACAAUGACGGUGACAGCAGCAGAUCUUGAUUUCAAAAGGCUUUUACACAGUUUCAUGAAGCAGCGAGGGGUAGAUGGCUUGCUGUGCUUGCUGAGCAAUUCAGAAGCACCACCUUCAGGAAAUAUUUAUGGCAGAAUGGGCCACCUGAGAUGGCUUUGUAGCUGUCCUCCACCCUCUGAAUGCCAUGCAGAUAGUAGAGGAAAGAAAAGGUACUUCUGUAUCCAGAGCUUGGAAGAACCCCAAGCUGGAGGUCAGGGGUGGAGGUGGGAGGAAUGGUGAGCAAAAGGGCAGUGGUACCACAUGAUCUCUGAAGGUGGUCCUUGAAAUUACUCAGUGAUAGUAAUGAAGCUUUAGGGAAGGGAGACCUCAGAAGAGUCCUGGUUUAAAAAUCCUUCUUUGCUACCUGCUUGGUUCCUACCUUUUUGGUGGGAGCUUGUGGUGGCUGCAGGGACCAUUCUGUGGAUGAGCAAAAUAUCCCUCAGGAAAGAAGUCCCCUCCAAACGCAUAAUGGACUGCAUGUAAGUCUCUCCACUGAGCAGAGUGUAAAAGGUAUGACAGAAGAACAGCACGAUCCUCCUCCUUCCCUCCCCUUCCUUGCCCUUUGAUUCAAGGAGCAGGAGCUGGUUUGUGAAUGAGGAGCUGAAACUCAUUCAGACUGAGCGAAUAACUGAUAAAGGAUGCUCGUUAGCUGAAGCCAGCCACAAAAAGGUAGCAGUUCUCAGGAGGGGGCUUAUUUCCCAGUGAUUCACUGGUGUAUAACAGAUGAAAGGAACAAAUAAAAUACUGCAGACGUGCAGAGCUUUGAUCUUUCUGCUCUUUCUUUCCUUUUCCCAGGGGUGAGAGCGGUGUUGUUGAAGUGAAUGGAGAGGAAAAGGCUGCUCUGACGGCAGGGCUUGUGGAGAUGUCAGGAGCCCCAGUCCGGAAUCAUUCUUUGGAGCUUGACAGAGAUUGGCCAUAGUGUAUUUCUGUAGGCUUUGCAGCACUCACCCUGCUUCCCCUUGCACUGAUAUUAACCUGCUUGCAGAUCUGCUGGAGCAGGGCUGGGGCAUGAAUGAACAUCUCACUGUUAUAUUUCUCUCUGCAAGCUCAGAACUGUAAGCAUGAAAAAGUAAAAUUAAUUUCUGGGUCAAAAGCUCUUGUCUUCCUAAUUUCUGUUUCAUCUGCUGUAGCUCGCAGGGAGCUGGCAGCCUUCAGUCUGGGGCCCUCAACACUCACCAGCUUGGAAUUUAUUUUUUUCUUACUGUGACUAAUCUUUGGGAUGAAUACGUUUAAGUUUUGUCUCUGUGGAUGUGAUGAAGAGAGAAAUUUGUUUCCAUUAUAGAGAAACUGCUACAGUGAGACUCCCCCAGCCCUGGGGCUUGAAUGGAAAAAAGCACAAACAUCAGUAGUGUGCUGAGAGUGUCCUCAUGCUUCUGGGUUAUCUGUCCACUGUUGUCUGUCAGUCUGGCUGACAUUACACAAAGGAAAGCUACCAGUUCAUGUUAGCACAUUAUUUCUGCAUAUUGAAAUUUAAAUAUACAUAUAUUUCCUUAAGAAGACAUGGUUGUGUCUCUCUUAAAAGUGCAUUUCUUUUCAUUAACUCAUCGGAUCUGGCUUUUUUCCUAAGCCUUCUGCUCUCCCCACGUCUUAUCUAAGUAUCUUUCCCCUACUCCACCUUACUCUGACCACUGGAUUUGCAGCCCCAGUUUAUCUUGACCUCUCCUGCCAGUCCCUCUGUGCAAUGCCUGCUGUUUGCUCUGUGUUUCCUGCAGAAGUGGGUGCUCUUCCCCUGCAGCAAUGAAGUCGUGGUGCCUCGUGCACACUGGGAUGUGGGGCCUGGCUCUGCAGGUCUCCCUCCUCCCCAGAUGUCAUUCUGUCAGACUGAUCACCUGCUUCCACUUGUUAUAUGACAACAAAACGUAACAGAAUAUAGGCAGGAAGGUUCAGCCUCUGCUGCCAUACCACCAACCUCCAUCUCUGAUGUCAUGGGUCAAGAUCAUAAAAUAGGAGGCAUUAGUUUCAGAGCAGCCCAUGUAUAUAAGUGUCUCUGGGGGUUCUAGAUUUGGGUGCACAGACAAAGCCACCAUGUGCAGCUAUGGGUUGUUUUUCAGCUGCCUCAUAGAUCUUACCUGUCAGACUUUUUAGCAGAAAUCCUAUGGUUUCUGCAUGUUUAUCAUUUGAGUGGUUCUCUAAACAAUUAUUCUCUUUCUGACCAGGACUGACAGAAGGACCGACUGCCAAAAGCCAGGUACGCAGAAGUGACAAUGACUGUGAUCAGACCCCACUAUGGAAGCAGGUGGGCAGCUCAAUAGAUGGAUGCCUAUGGCAGGCAGGACUGGUUGGUCUAUCCUUGUGUUAUUUAACAUUUAAAAAUAAAUAAAUAAAUAAAAAUCAAUUUAAAAUGGC